UACGGGGGGGGGUAAGCGUUGUUCGGAAUUACUGGGCGUAAAGGGCUCGUAGGCGGCCAACUAAGUCGGACGUGAAAUCCCUCAGCUUAACUGGGGAACUGCGUCCGAUACUGGAUGGCUUGGAUUUGGGAGAGGGAUGCGGAAUUCCGGGUGUAGUGGUGGAAUGCGUAGAUAUCGGGAGGAACACCUGUGGCGAAAGCGGCGCACUGGACCAUAACUGACGCUGAGGCGCGAAAGCUAGGGGAGCAAACAGG
rnacentral:rRNA from 1 species